AAAAACAUGUCUUUUUGAUAAUAAUUUAAAGUCUAAUCUGCCCACUGAUAUAUUAUAUUAAAGGGCUGCAGUAUAUUGACUGUACAAAGGUAGCAUAAUCAUUAGUCUUUUAAUUGAAGACUUGUAUGAAAGAUUUGAUGAAAUAUAAACUGUCUCUAAUUUAUAUAUAGAAAUUAAUUUUUUAGUUAAAAAGCUAAAAUAAAGUUAAAAGACGAGAAGACCCUAUAGAGUUUUAUAUUUUACUUGUUUAAUGUUAAAUAUAUAAUUAAAUUAUAUAAAAAAAUUAAAAUAUUGUGUUGGGGUGAUAGAAAAAUUUAAUAAACUUUUUUUUUGUGGUUAAACAUAAAUAAGUGAUUAAUUGAUCCAUUUUUAGUGAUUAAAAGAAAAAAUUACCUUAGGGA
rnacentral:rRNA from 1 species